UACAGAGGGGGCAAGCGUUGUUCGGAAUUACUGGGCGGAAAGGGCGCGUAGGCGGCCGCCUAAGUCAGACGUGAAAUCCCUCGGCUCAACCGGGGAACUGCGUCUGAUACUGGGUGGCUUGAAUCCGGGAGAGGGAUGCGGAAUUCCAGGUGUAGUGGUGAAAUGCGUAGAUAUCGGGAGGAACACCAGUGGCGAAGGCGACUACCUGGCCUGUUCUUGACGCUGAGGCGCGAAAGCUAGGGGAGCAAACGGG
rnacentral:rRNA from 1 species